rnacentral:lncRNA from 1 species
UUAAUGACUUAACGUAAAAGAAAUAGUUCAAAAUUGCAUAAGUUAUCACAUCAAGAUAGAUCAAUAAAAAUUCGUCAAAUAUAAUGUUUCUUUCAAAAUUACAAAUGAGUAUUCAGAAUACACUAAAAAAACAGGAUCAAAUAAUUCACCUUGAUGUUUGGAACUAAUUAAAACAAUAUAGAUCCAAACAAACAAAUGGGAAUACAGUCAAUAAAACCUCAGAAUGAUCUCAUCUGAUUCCUAAAAAAAUCACCAGAUAAGAAAUAAUGAAGUUCAUCAUAGAAGAACAGAGACUACAGAAAGAAAAGGAUCUCUUAAAGUUCCAAGGCAACAGAUCAUAAAACAAACAGACAAAACACCAUCAAAACUUCCCAAUGGUCUAAUCCAAAUCAAUAUAUAUUCAGAAAUAAUGGGUUAGGAUUCCACAAAAGUUCAAGAUACCAAAUACAGGGUCUAUUGGAAAAUUCAGUCUCAAAUUCAAACAAUACCAAAGCCAAUACAGAUCAACAAUGGAUGAACGCAAGGCAAUCAUAAACUCUAUAAAGUAAACCGAUCUAAACCAAAAAAAUAAGAACAAUAGAAGGAGAAGAUCAUAGGCUUAUUUUCAUAAAUACAUGGAGGAGCUUAGAAAAAUUGGAACCUGAAGAGAAAAUGCAGUAUUCAAGAAAAUCUGAUGGCCUGGAAUUCUAUAGCAUGACAGCUUCUGCCGGAGCUCUCAAUCUUCACUUCUGUGCUAAAGUUUUUCUCUCAAACUCUCUCUGCUUUCUCUCUCACUUCCAAACUCUCUCAUAGAGAUCUCAAAAAUGGCCUCCCAAAAAUCAACAACCUCUAAACCGACAACCCUUCAUUAUAUACCCUCUCCUCCGAAGACUCUCGAACCUCCCUUUCUCACGUGACAUGCUCAAACUUAAAUGCGAACUCUCUGAAGUUCUAAAAUCGUUCCCCGCUUUUCUGGGCCGAACAGGGCCUUACAAAACCAAUUUUCCCGCCCCUUAAAUGUCUAAAAAAAUUCAAAAUAUAAGCUUAAAUAUUAAGAGCGUAAAACCAAAAUCAUAAUCAUAAUAAUCAUACAAUCAAAAGCAAUAAAUUAAUAAAAUGAAUGAAAUAAAUACAUCAAGCAUAACAUGCAUUUUCGACGUAUGAGAAGUCCGGCUCCGGUCAUCGGGACCCGCGACUGGACCACCGCUAAGAGAAGCAUGAAGAAUGUAGCUCCGGCCUCCCGAAAAAAGAGAGCAAGUGAGUGAGAUCAAACCCCAACAAACUCCAUGCUCGGUGUUGCUCGGUUUGGUGUUCGGCUUGAAGGAGAAGAAAGGCGCAGCUGUAGUAGAAUCCAUGGCGGGAUGGUGAUUGGUGCGGCGGUUUGGACGAAGGAAGAAGAUGAAGUUGCCGCGAGGGUAUUAGGAGCUGUAUGGUGUUCGGUUUUGGGAGAGGAAAGUGGCAGCUGUGAUGGAAGUACUGGUUUGGAGAAAGAAGAGGGUACAAUGUAGGUGUUGGGCAUGAUAGAAGAUAGGUCUUGGGCAGCCAAAAAAAUUAAACUGUGGCAGGAGAUGGCCGGCGGCUUGGUGGGGGUUGUUCUAAGGUGUGUCUUGGGCAGCUACAAGGUAUGGUUAUAGCAUGGGGGGAAUAGGAGGAAUUGAUGGUUGGAGUGGGGUCUUGGCUAGCCCAUAACUGGGCUGUAGCAGUGAGAGUGGACGGCUUGAUGGGGGGUUUGAUUUAAGGUGUCU